GAAAUGCGAUAAGUAGUGUGAAUUGCAGAAUUCAGUGAAUCAUCGAAUCUUUGAACGCACAUUGCGCCCCUCGGCAUUCCGUGGGGCAUGCCUGUUCGAGCGUCAUCUACACCCUCAAGCUCUGCUUGGUGUUAGGCGUCUGUCCCGCCUCCGCGCGCGGACUCGCCCCAAAUGCAUUGGCAGCGGUUCCUUGCCCCCCUCUUUGCGCAGCACAUUGCCAUUCGAGGCGGCGGCGGCCCGCGUCCAACAAGCUCAACCCCCCCGUCUUUGACCUCGGAUCAGGUAGGGAUACCCGCUGAACUUAAGC
rnacentral:misc_RNA from 1 species